AUGAAAUCACAGACCUGGGUCUUCAUAUUCCUCUUGAACUGGGUGUCUGGUGCUGAUGGGAACAUUGUGAUGAUCCAGUCUCCCAAAUCUAUGUCGACAUCAGUAGGAGACAGGGUCACCAUGACCUGCAAGGCCAGUCAGAAUGUGGGUACUGCUGUAGCCUGGUACCUUCAGAAACCAGGGAAGUCUCUUGAACUGCUUAUCUAUGGGGCAUCCAACCGGUAUACUGGGGUCCCUGAUCGGUUCAUAGGCAGUGGAUCUGGGACUGAUUUCACUCUCACCAUCAGCAAAUGUGCAGGCUGA